rnacentral:rRNA from 1 species
GCUGUCGGCGUGCUUAACACAUGCAAGUCGAACGGAAAGGCCCUGCUUUUGUGGGGUGCUCGAGUGGCGAACGGGUGAGUAACACGUGAGUAACCUGCCCUUGACUUUGGGAUAACUUCAGGAAACUGGGGCUAAUACCGGAUAGGAGCUCCUGCUGCAUGGUGGGGGUUGGAAAGUUUCGGCGGUUGGGGAUGGACUCGCGGCUUAUCAGCUUGUUGGUGGGGUAGUGGCUUACCAAGGCUUUGACGGGUAGCCGGCCUGAGAGGGUGACCGGCCACAUUGGGACUGAGAUACGGCCCAGACUCCCACGGGAGGCAGCAGUGGGGAAUAUUGCACAAUGGGCGGAAGCCUGAUGCAGCAACGCCGCGUGCGGGAUGACGGCCUUCGGGUUGUAAACCGCUUUCGCCUGUGACGAAGCGUGAGUGACGGUAAUGGGUAAAGAAGCACCGGCUAACUACGUGCCAGCAGCCGCGGUGAUACGUAGGGUGCGAGCGUUGUCCGGAUUUAUUGGGCGUAAAGGGCUCGUAGGUGGUUGAUCGCGUCGGAAGUGUAAUCUUGGGGCUUAACCCUGAGCGUGCUUUCGAUACGGGUUGACUUGAGGAAGGUAGGGGAGAAUGGAAUUCCUGGUGGAGCGGUGGAAUGCGCAGAUAUCAGGAGGAACACCAGUGGCGAAGGCGGUUCUCUGGGCCUUUCCUGACGCUGAGGAGCGAAAGCGUGGGGAGCGAACAGGCUUAGAUACCCUGGUAGUCCACGCUGUAAACGGUGGGCACUAGGUGUGGGGUCCAUUCCACGGGUUCCGUGCCGUAGCUAACGCUUUAAGUACCCCGCCUGGGGAGUACGGCCGCAAGGCUAAAACUCAAAGGAAUUGACGGGGCCCCGCACAAGCGGCGGAGCAUGCGGAUUAAUUCGAUGCAACGCGUAGAACCUUACCUGGGUUUGACAUGGAUCGGGAGUGCUCAGAGAUGGGUGUGCCUCUUUUGGGGUCGGUUCACAGGUGGUGCAUGCCUGUCGUCAGCUCGUGUCGUGAGAUGUUGGGUUAAGUCCCGCAACGAGCGCAACCCUUGUUCACUGUUGCCAGCACGUUAUGGUGGGGACUCAGUGGAGACCGCCGGGGUCAACUCGGAGGAAGGUGGGGAUGACGUCAAGUCCUCAUGCCCCUUAUGUCCAGGGCUUCACGCAUGCUACAAUGGCUGGUACAGAGAGUGGCGAGCCUGUGAGGGUGAGCGAAUCUCGGAAAGCCGGUCUCAGUUCGGAUUGGGGUCUGCAACUCGACCUCAUGAAGUCGGAGUCGCUAGUAAUCGCAGAUCAGCAACGCUGCGGUGAAUACGUUCCCGGGGCUUGUACACACCGCCCGUCAAGUCAUGAAAGUUGGUAACACCCGAAGCCGGUGGCCUAACCGUUGUGGGGGAGCCGUCGAAGGUGGGACUGGUGAUUAGGACUA